GGGGAAUAUUGCACAAUGGGCGCAAGCCUGAUGCAGCCAUGCCGCGUGUGUGAAGAAGGCCUUCGGGUUGUAAAGCACUUUCAGUCAGGAGGAAAGGGUGUGUUUUAAUAGAGCAUAUCUGUGACGUUACUGACAGAAGAAG
rnacentral:rRNA from 1 species